GAUGAACGCUGGCGGCGUGCCUAAUACAUGCAAGUCGAGCGAACAGACGAGGAGCUUGCUCCUCUGACGUUAGCGGCGGACGGGUGAGUAACACGUGGAUAACCUACCUAUAAGACUGGGAUAACUUCGGGAAACCGGAGCUAAUACCGGAUAAUAUAUUGAACCGCAUGGUUCAAUAGUGAAAGACGGUUUUGCUGUCACUAUAGAUGGAUCCGCGCCGCAUUAGCUAGUUGGUAAGGUAACGGCUUACCAAGGCGACGAUGCGUAGCCGACCUGAGAGGGUGAUCGGCCACACUGGAACUGAGACACGGUCCAGACGCCUACGGGAGGCAGCAGUAGGGAAUCUUCCGCAAUGGGCGAAAGCCUGACGGAGCAACGCCGCGUGAGUGAUGAAGGUCUUCGGAUCGUAAAACUCUGUUAUUAGGGAAGAACAAAUGUGUAAGUAACUAUGCACGUCUUGACGGUACCUAAUCAGAAAGCCACGGCUAACUACGUG
rnacentral:rRNA from 1 species